UACGGAGGGUGCAAACGUUGCUCGGAAUCAUUGGGCGUAAAGCGUGCGUAGACGGCUAUCUAAGUCGGGUGUGAAAGCCCCGGGCUCAACCUGGGAAUUGCAUUCGAGACUGAAUAGCUAGGGUACGGUAGAGGGAAGCGGAAUUUCCGGUGUAGCGGUGAAAUGCGUAGAUAUCGGAAGGAACAUCAGUGGCGAAAGCGGCUUCCUGGACCAGUACCGACGUUCAGGCACGAAAGCGUGGGGAGCAAACAGG
rnacentral:rRNA from 1 species